rnacentral:rRNA from 1 species
AACGAACGCUGGCGGCAGGCUUAACACAUGCAAGUCGAACGCCCCGCAAGGGGAGUGGCAGACGGGUGAGUAACGCGUGGGAAUCUACCCAUCUCUACGGAAUAACUCAGGGAAACUUGUGCUAAUACCGUAUACGCCCUUCGGGGGAAAGAUUUAUCGGAGAUGGAUGAGCCCGCGUUGGAUUAGCUAGUUGGUGGGGUAAAGGCCUACCAAGGCGACGAUCCAUAGCUGGUCUGAGAGGAUGAUCAGCCACAUUGGGACUGAGACACGGCCCAAACUCCUACGGGAGGCAGCAGUGGGGAAUAUUGGACAAUGGGCGCAAGCCUGAUCCAGCCAUGCCGCGUGAGUGAUGAAGGCCCUAGGGUUGCAAAGCUCUUUCACCGAUGAAGAUAAUGACUGUAGUCGGAGAAGAAGCCCCGGCUAACUUCGUGCCAGCAGCCGCCGCGGUAA